rnacentral:rRNA from 1 species
CCUACGGGAGGCAGCAGUGGGGAAUAUUGGGCAAUGGGCGCAAGCCUGACCCAGCAACGCCGCGUGAAGGAAGAAGGCUUUCGGGUUUUAAACUUCUUUUCUGGGGGACGAACAAAUGACGGUACCCCAGGAAUAAGCCACGGCUAACUACGGGCCAGCAGCCGCGGUAAUACGUAGGUGGCAAGCGUUAUCCGGAUUUAUUGGGUGUAAAGGGCGUGUAGGCGGGAAUGCAAGUCAGAUGUGAAAACUAAGGGCUCAACCCUGAGCCUGCAUUUGAAACUGGGUUUCUUGAGUGCUGGGGAGGCAAUCGGAAUUCCGGGUGUAGCGGUGAAAUGCGUAGAUAUACGGAGGAACACCAGUGGCGAAGGCGGAUUGCUGGACAGUAACUGACGCUGAGGCGCGAAAGCGUGGGGAGCAAACAGGAUUAGAUACCCGAGUAGUC